UACGGAGGGGGCUAGCGUUGUUCGGAAUUACUGGGCGUAAAGCGCGCGUAGGCGGCUUAGCAAGUUAGAGGUGAAAGCCCGAAGCUCAACUUCGGAAUUGCCUUUAAAACUGCAAAGCUAGAAUCAUGGAGAGGUUAGUGGAAUUCCGAGUGUAGAGGUGAAAUUCGUAGAUAUUCGGAAGAACACCAGUGGCGAAGGCGGCUCACUGGCCUGGUAUUGACGCUGAGGUGCGAAAGCGUGGGGAGCAAACAGG
rnacentral:rRNA from 1 species